AGCACCUACAUCUACGGCUUCAUGGACUCCAACUACAAACCGGGACUGAGCAAAGACCAGUGUCUGGAGCUCACUGCUGCAGCUCUGUCUCUGGCGAUGGAGAGAGACGGCUCCAGCGGCGGCGUGGUCAGACUGGCGAGCAUCUCAGAGGAGGGAGUGGAGAGACGAGUCAUACUGGGAAACCAGCUGCCCAAAUACUCCACACACUAAACACGUUAAUGUCCAUUUUGUUGUGAUAAUAAAGGUUUCAGUCUG